UACGAAGGGGGCUAGCGUUGCUCGGAAUCACUGGGCGUAAAGGGUGCGUAGGCGGGUCUUUAAGUCAGGGGUGAAAUCCUGGAGCUCAACUCCAGAACUGCCUUUGAUACUGAAGAUCUUGAGUUCGGGAGAGGUGAGUGGAACUGCGAGUGUAGAGGUGAAAUUCGUAGAUAUUCGCAAGAACACCAGUGGCGAAGGCGGCUUACUGGUCCGGUUCUGACGCUGAGGCACGAAAGCGUGGGGAGCAAACAGG
rnacentral:rRNA from 1 species